AUGACUGUGCAAACUCAGGUGAUGCUCAUCUGGAGCCUGGCUCUAUGGGGAGCAGUGAGUGGGGACAUCACCCUGAACCAGACGCCAGCUUCCCAGUCAGUAUCUCCUGGAGAGAGGAUAACCAUUUCAUGUCGGGCCAGUGCCGAUGUCCAUAAAGAAAUAUCCUGGGUCCGAAUAAAACUGGGACAAAGACUAGAGCCCCUUAUUUCUCAUCACUCCUUAGCUCCUGGUGUCCCCGCCCGGUUCAGCAGCAGUGAAAGUGGAACUGACUAUGUAUUAAGCAUCAGUCCUGUGCAGCCCGGGGACUCAGGAGAAUAUUACUGUCUGCACGACUAUGGUUGGCCAACCCACAGUGCAGCUGCCCUGCACACAAACCCCUGUUUCCUCUAG